rnacentral:rRNA from 1 species
GUCCCAGUUCGGACUGUAGUCUGCAACCCGACUACACGAAGCUGGAAUCGCUAGUAAUCGCGGAUCAGAAUGUCGCGGUGAAUACGUUCCCGGGUCUUGUACACACCGCCCGUCACACCAUGGGAGCCGGUAAUACCCGAAGUCAGUAGUCCAACCUCGUGAGGACGCUGCCGAAGGUAGGAUUGGCGACUGGGGUGAAGUCGUAACAAGGUAAC